AUUGAACGCUGGCGGCAUGCCUAACACAUGCAAGUCGAACGAGUGGCGGACGGGUGCGUAAUGUCUGGGAAACUGCCCGAUGGAGGGGGAUAACUACUGGAAACGGUCGCUAAUACCUCAUACCAUCUGAUGUGCCCAGAUGGGAUUAGCUAGUAGGUGGGGUACCGGCUCACCUAGGCGACGAUCCCUAGCUGGUCUGAGAGGAUGACCAGCCACACUGGAACUGAGACACGGUCCAGACUCGUACGGGAGGCAGCAGUGGGGAAUAUUGCACAAUGGGAGCAAGCCGGAUGCAGACAUGCCGCGUGUAUGAAGAAGGCCUUCGGUUUGUAAAGUACUUUCAGCGAGGAGGCGUUACUCGCAGAAGAAGCACCGGCUAACUCCGUGCCAGCAGCCGCGGUAAUUC
rnacentral:rRNA from 1 species